CUGCUAAUGCACCUGAGAAGGUAGCAGAGGACAGCCCAACUACUUGGGUCACUUCCACGCCUAUAGAAGAUCAAGUCAUAUUUCCAGGCUCCUAGCAUCAGCCCAGACCAGACUCUGCUGUUGCCAUUAUUUAUACAGCGCUCAUCUGUGCUCAUCACAUUUCGGUGGUGAUAAAGGAAAACCAAGAGAGACCUGGUGGAGAAGGCAUUGAAUGACUGAUAAAUUUCCUAUAGCCCCUGAAGAUGAAUAAUACAUAAACAAGACCUUCAAAGAUCUCUGUACCGGAAGGGAUCUGCCUCUACACAGUCAUGCCUCAGUACCAGCAGGGGACUGGGGAUUGCUUCCAGGACCCCAUGGACACCAAAACCAGCAGAUGCUUCAGCAGUUUUUUUUCCCAUGAACUAUAUAUUUUAUUUGUUAAAAAACCUUGAUUAUAUCCAUUUCCAAAAGACGUACACACUUAAAAAGAAAUACACAGUAAUAGAAAAAUGCCUAGUAUUUGUGCUUUUCCUAAACGCACAAAACAUCUGUUGUACAGUGUUUAUUAUAUGGAUGCUACUUAUUAUUCAAAUGGAUUAAGCAUUUUUGUAACAAUUACAGUAAACUAAUCAACUUAAUAUCUGACUCCCCUCAAAAUCACAUUUGUAGUGUUUAAUAAACUAUUCCUUACUGUUAUUUCCUUAGA